rnacentral:rRNA from 1 species
GAACGCUGGCGGCGUGCUUAACACAUGCAAGUCGAACGAUGAACCAGGAGCUUGCUCUUGGGGAUUAGUGGCGAACGGGUGAGUAACACGUGAGUAACCUGCCCUUGACUCUGGGAUAACCUCCGGAAACGGAAGCUAAUACCGGAUACGAACUGCGAAGGCAUCUUCAGCAGUUGGAAAGAACUUCGGUCAAGGAUGGACUCGCGGCCUAUCAGGUAGUUGGUGAGGUAACGGCCCACCAAGCCUACGACGGGUAGCCGGCCUGAGAGGGUGACCGGCCACACUGGGACUGAGACACGGCCCAGACUCCUACGGGAGGCAGCAGUGGGGAAUAUUGCACAAUGGGCGCAAGCCUGAUGCAGCAACGCCGCGUGAGGGAUGACGGCCUUCGGGUUGUAAACCUCUUUUAGUAGGGAAGAAGCGAAAGUGACGGUACCUGCAGAAAAAGCACCGGCUAACUACGUGCCAGCAGCCGCGGUAAUACGUAGGGUGCGAGCGUUGUCCGGAAUUAUUGGGCGUAAAGAGCUCGUAGGCGGUCUGUCGCGUCUGCUGUGAAAACCCGAGGCUCAACCUCGGGCCUGCAGUGGGUACGGGCAGACUAGAGUGCGGUAGGGGAGAAUGGAAUUCCUGGUGUAGCGGUGGAAUGCGCAGAUAUCAGGAGGAACACCGAUGGCGAAGGCAGUUCUCUGGGCCGUAACUGACGCUGAGGAGCGAAAGCGUGGGGAGCGAACAGGAUUAGAUACCCUGGUAGUCCACGCCGUAAA